rnacentral:rRNA from 1 species
UACGAAGGGGGCUAGCGUUGCUCGGAAUCACUGGGCGUAAAGGGUGCGUAGGCGGGUCUUUAAGUCAGGGGUGAAAUCCUGGAGCUCAACUCCAGAACUGCCUUUGAUACUGAAGAUCUUGAGUUCGGGAGAGUGAGUGGAACUGCGAGUGUAGAGGUGAAAUUCGUAGAUAUUCGCAAGAACACCAGUGGCGAAGGCGGCUCACUGGCCCGAUACUGACGCUGAUGCACGAAAGCGUGGGGAGCAAACAGG